UUUACCGGGGAUGCUAGCGUUAUCCCGAAUUAUUGCCUUUAAAGGGUGCGUAGGCGGAAAUUUAAGUCAGUGGUGAAAGCCUGCAGCUUAACUGUAGAAUUGCCAUUGAUACUGGAUUUCUUGAAUCUAAUAGAAGUAGGCGGAAUAUGACAUGUAGCGGUGAAAUGCUUAGAUAUGUCAUAGAACACCGAUAGCGAAGGCAGCUUACUAUGUUAGUAUUGACGCUAAUGCACGAAAGCGUGGGGAGCGAACAGGAUUAGAUACCCUGGUAGUCCACGCCGUAAACGAUGAUUACUCGCUAUUGGCGAUACACUGUCAGUGGCUAAGCGAAAGUGAUAAGUAAUCCACCUGGGGAGUACGAUCGCAAGGUUGAAACUCAAAGGAAUUGACGGA
rnacentral:rRNA from 1 species